AGAGUUGAUCCUGGCUCAGGAUGAACGCUGGCGGUAUGCUUAACACAUGCAAGUCGAANGGAACCUUCGGGUUUAGUGGCGGACGGGUGAGUAACGCGUGAGAAUCUGCCUCUAGGUCGGGGACAACAAUUGGAAACGAUUGCUAAUACCCGAUGUGCAGCAAUGUGAAAGAUUUAUUGCCUAGAGAUGAGCUCGCGUCUGAUUAGCUAGUAGGUGUGGUAAUGGCGCACCUAGGCGACGAUCAGUAACUGGUCUGAGAGGAUGACCAGUCACACUGGGACUGAGACACGGCCCAGACUCCUACGGGAGGCAGCAGUGGGGAAUUUUCCGCAAUGGGCGAAAGCCUGACGGAGCAAUACCGCGUGAGGGACGAAGGCUUUUGGGUCGUAAACCUCUUUUCCCUGAGAAGAAGAUCUGACGGUAUCAGGGGAAUCAGCAUCGGCUAACUUCGUGCCAGCAGCCGCGGUAAUACGAGGGAUGCAAGCGUUAUCCGGAAUUAUUGGGCGUAAAGCGUCCGCAGGUGGCUCUGUAAGUCUGUCGUUAAAGAAUGGGGCUCAACCCCAUACAGGCGAUGGAAACUACAAGGCUAGAGUUUGGUAGGGGUCACGGGAAUUCCUAGUGUAGCGGUGAAAUGCGUAGAUAUUAGGAAGAACACCAGCGGCGAAAGCGCGUGACUGGGCCAGUACUGACACUCAUGGACGAAAGCUAGGGGAGCGAAAGGGAUUGGAUACCCCUGUAGUCCUAGCCGUAAACGAUGAUAACUAGGUGUUGCCCGUAUCGACCCGGGCAGUGCCCGUAGCCCAACGCGUUUAGUUAUCCCGCCCUGGGGGAGUUACGCACGCUAAGUNGUGAAUACUUCANAAGGAAAUUUGACGG
rnacentral:rRNA from 1 species